UACAGAGGGUGCGAGCGUUGUCCGGAAUUAUUGGGCGUAAAGAGCUCGUAGGCGGCUUGUUGCGUCGGCUGUGAAAACCCAUGGCUUAACUGUGGGGCUUGCAGCCGAUACGGGCAGGCUAGAGUUCGGUAGGGGAGACUGGAAUUCCUGGUGUAGCGGUGGAAUGCGCAGAUAUCAGGAGGAACACCGGUGGCGAAGGCGGCAUCCUGGACCGAUACUGACGCUGAGGAGCGAAAGCCAGGGGAGCAAACGGG
rnacentral:rRNA from 1 species